rnacentral:tRNA from 1 species
AGCGGAAUAGUUCAGUUGGUAGAACGUUAGGUUGCGGAUUACUGCCUAAAUGUCGCCGGUUCGAAUCCGGCUUCCGCUG